rnacentral:rRNA from 1 species
CCUGAAAGAUUAUAGGAGGUCCAGCCUGCCCAGUGAUAAAAUUAAACGGCCGCGGUACCCUAACCGUGCGAAGGUAGCGCAAUCACUUGUUCUUUAAAUGAGGACUAGUAUGAACGGCAUCACGAGGAUUAUACUGUCUCCCUUCUUUAAUCAGUGAAACUGAUCCCCCCGUGAAGAAGCGGGAAUAAACAUAUAAGACGAGAAGACCCUAUGGAGCUUUAAACUAAACACCACUUAUCUAAAACACUUCAUAAUAAACAGAUAAGCUUGUGCGCGUUUUAGGUUGGGGUGACCGCGGAGUAAAAUUUAACCUCCACGUUGAAAGGCCUUUAUCCUUAUCCAAGAGCCACAUCUCCAAGAAUCAACAAAUUGACAUUUAUUGACCCAAAUUUUUUUUGAUCAACGAAC